UCUCAAUAACAUAUUUGUCGAAUACCACUUGAAUCGUUUGAAAUACAUUGGUAAAACAUCUUAGAAACGUACUUUAAACAACCAUUUCCAAAUAGCAAAACAACGAUGUAAUUUUUUGUUUUUGGAUAACUGUUUUGAACAUUAGUAUAACAAUAACAAAGUGAGAAUGGAAUUCAUGGAGCUAAUGUGGGGAAAUUGAUUUCUAUUAUUUUUGGGGUCAAUAUAGUGUUGAAAUUGUGCUUCGAAGUAAGAUUUAGCCGUCGGGUAAGUACAUAAUGUGAUUAUUAGGUGAUAAGAGGCUUGUCAUAUAAGUGAAGUUAAAUAGUGACUUGAUUCUUCCCAGCCAUUCAGGCAUUAAGUGAGUUACUUAGUCGCAAACUUUUUUUUAGGUAAUAUCCAUAUAACAAUGUGUUUCGCUAGUUCAAAGCGGGAUCAACAAUCAAAGAGCAUGAAAUAUAAGUGCUGUAAUAUUUGGUAUUUUAAUUGAAUUACCUUAUAUUUUAAAGGCAAAAGAUAUGUCAAAAAUAAUAUUGAUGUGAAUGAGAAAAAACAGCGAACUGAUAAACUUGUACAUUUGUCGUUUUUAAUACGUAAAAAUAACGUAGUUGUAACAUAUUUGAGUCCAAAUGUUAUAAUUAUGUGCUGUGGAUUUUCUACAUAACAUCUUUAAUUGAAGGAAAAUGGUGAUACAAAAAUCUUGUGUGAUCAACGUUAAAUUUACGUUACUCUAACUUAUACUGAGGUUGAUAAUUAUUUGCAGUAGAUUGUUAUUGCCAAACAUAGUUAAAACAUGAUUUCAAUGCAAGAUGUGUACAGAUACGAUUAUAGUACUGUAUUAUAACAUAUUUUUCAAAUUUAAUUUUCAAAGAUGUUUUCUGUGUUACUUGGGCUUCUUCUUCUUUCUUCUUUAUGGCUCUACGUCCGCACUGGGACUUGGCCUGCCUCGCUUUAUCUCAGUGUUCUUUGAGCAAUUGUCGUCAGCUUAGUGAGUUCCCUUCUUAUUGAUUGCACCGAAGAAUAUUAUUUACUAAAAAGUUUUCCUUUCGCACCUGGAGGAUAAAUUGAUUUAUUGAACUUUCUUUGAAUUAUUGUUCCCCAAAGGGACCACACAUUUCCAAACACUCAAGAAAAAGUACAAACGGUGAAUGACAGAAGAAAAUAAUUCCUCCAUCAAAAAGGCAAAGAGCACAUUACUGCUUUCUUCCUCCGCAAUAUUACCUCCUACCCACAUCAGCUAAAUAGCUGCCACCUACCCACCCACCGCUUAGAGUGCAAUUUUUCAUCAUGAUACAAGCGGUUUUGGUGAUACAAGGCCAAUAUCAUGUUUCUGGAACGUGAUACAGCCAUACAUUUUUGACACCUCCAAUAUCACCUUCCCGAACGUGAUAUUCCGAAUAUCAAGAUACAACUGCUCGAAUUUUCUACUCGAACGAUGAUUUUCUGGCAACCCUGUACGGAUUUGACAGCAAUCGCUUUCAAACUUUUUGUUUUUGUUUAUCAUUUUGUUGUCGCAAAAUCGUAAAAAAAAAAUGGUGUGGAAGUGACGAUUCUACAGAAGUUUUUCGGAUCGAAUGUUCCGACCUCGGUUCCGAAGGUGGCCCCAUAAAAGGAACCAAUUGAUAGGGAAUCAACUACGAGUAGUAUGACUCCGAACCAGUUAGAACAUUCAUCUCGUAGGAACCGCUCCCAGAAAGCUCGCAGUAGUGGACUCACGGGGAAGGAAAGAAAUCGACGUGACCGAACGUUUCCAUGUCAAUAUACGACCACCAGCAAGAACGGAAUUCCCGGAGGAUCUUCAACUGGCAUGCAGCUGCACCGGAACACUUCCUGUUUUCAACACGGAAUCGUUCAAUCUUCGAUUUGUGGAGAAGCUGGAACUUGGUAUAUUAUACGAUGCGAUGGUGGUCCGUGGCAGCAGAUUACCCAACAGCAAAACGCUGGCUAAAUUUAGGACAUUUAUUCGGUGCUUGAUGCAGAAUUAAGCUGCUGUUUGUAGUUAUGAAGAAGUUAUUUCAAGGGAUAUUGGAAUUGUGAACAAAGAUAAGUUGAAUACUAUUGACGUUAUGAUUUAUUACUAGAUCAUUACAGAUUCGUCCGAGCUAUCUACCAAUAGUUUUUAGGUCCUUUUCUAAGGAGUUUCUCCAU